UGUUGGGGUUAGUUAAAGGAAAGGUUUGGUUUGUUGUAAACUAGCGAGGACGUGUCAUCUGACCUCUGUUGACCAAAGGGAGAUAAAUCCUGACACGUGGAGUCGUGUGUUUUGACCUCAUGGGAGACACUAUUUAUAUUCUGAUAAUAUAGAUCUCAACAGUUCCGUUAAAGCGGCUUCUUCACACAGUUCGAUGAGUGUUUUAAAAUCACAGAAGGUUUCGUAUUUCUCGAGUGUUGGACACCAGUUUAAGGCAAGUUGGGCUUUAAUAGAUAUUUUAUCCAAUAGUUACUGUAUCUACAGUAUAACCUCAGAAAAUUGUGUAAUUCAUAUUUUACAAAUAAUGACAUAAAAACAAGAAUUUCAUUAUAAAUAUAAGUGCAAUAAAUUAAACUGUUCCUACAUUUGAUCACUGUUAACCACUUCAUUUAACAGUUAUGUGCAAAUAAUUUCUUUGUGCAUUACUGCCUCUCUGUUCACAGAUCUGAACCUGCAGCUGAAGGCAUUGUUACUGAAAUUGUGCAAAUAAUUGGCUCCUGCACUAAACAGGUCAGUGUGCAAAACAAAAUGUGUCCUUUUCAUCUCACAGGAAAACAGAACCAGUGAAUGCCUUUUAAAAAGUGCCAUUUUGUUCUGUUUGACCUUCACUGCGCCGCAGUUACAGCAGAUUACCACAGGAGGGCAGCAGUGACACAUCAAGAAGAAUUAUUGCUUUUUUUCAUGAAUCUUAAAUCUUUCACAAACAGCUUUGAAAAUGUAUAAUUUUCUAUAUAAGCCUUGCAAGCAAAUGAUGGUUUCAUAAUGUCGUUGGUGUAACUUUUCUGUCACCAGAAAACAGAUUUAAGUCAACCUUUUGCUCUAAUUCACCUGCUGACAUGUUGGCUGAGUUUGUGACCAGUAAAAAAGCAGAUGUAAAAGAAUAGACAUUUUACAUCUGCUGGUUUUAAAGUAAUUUCUACCAUAGGUCAACAAAAACCACAGACACGACUUUAGAUGCGAGUACCAGCAGCGUGUGUUAGGGUUUCCUCCAGGUCAGAGGAGGGAUGGCGGCGUUGGCGUCGCAGUAAGAAUCGCUGAUCUCAGAGUCUGCAGGGAGAGCGGGCUUUUUCCUCUCCUUCUCCUCGCUGUCAGAGUCGUCCACAGUCGGUGUGAUGAGGGAGGUGGACUUCCUGUAGAGGGAGGAAAAAGAUUAAUGUUGCCGUUCCGUCUUCUUCUCAAACUCUCUAUUGAUUCAGACAUUUUGCACUCUCUCUAUUUUGGCCUCCUUGCAGUGAUUUUGUGGGCUUGACGUUUUAUUUUAAUACGCAGACAGACCUAAGCCGCAGUUUGUGCCUCUUAUGUACUCUCAUUACACAUUAGUGUCUAAGAUCUAUUUUUUUUCCCUCGUGAUCCCAAAACAUUCUCACUGUAUGGUUUGUUCAGUAGCUUUUCUGGAGGUUUCAAUUCAGAUUUGUGGGUGUCGCUCCGUCUCAAAGGUCAACAAUUAAAUAUUAACUUUUACACAUAUGAAUUAUAAAAAUUAUCAAAAAGCUAAAUCCUUCUGCUGAGGAAGACUCCUAUAAAUCUUCUAACCAUCUGGAUAAAAAAAGUAUACUGCAUGAUAAAAUAUUUUUAACCUGUUCACUGUUUCCUAAUCCAAAAAAACAUGAUCACCAGACUAAAAGUUAUUUGUCUGUGUGUGUUGUUACUUUUAUAUUUUGCUUUUGCUCUGCAAAAUGAGCAGGGAGAUCCAGCGGUUUCAGAUUUAUUUAUAUAUAUUUAAAUCAUGUAGGAGACAGAACAUUUUGGAAAUAAGUGUUAAACACUUUUUUGGAGACUUACUUUUCAGAAAAACAGAUUCUUAGCUCUGACCCAAAUGUAAUGAUAACACAUCAUAUGUAUUAUUACAUUGAGGAUGUGAUUGAGUGGCGUGUCUCCUGGUACUGUGUUUUCCAUGUAUUGUACUUACCUCUUUGUUUUGGACCUGUACAACAAACUGCUUUUGAAAAGUGCAAUAUAUACACUUGCAGACUAGUUUAUUAUUAGGUACACCUGGCUGAAAACUACUGCAGUCUAAUACACAGAUCCUGCAAUAAAUCCAAACUGAUUAUUUAAUUUAUUUACUGGUUAUUUCAGCUUUAAAGUUAUUUUGAUGGCUGUAGUUUGUGGUGCUGUUGAAAUGUCUAUUUAGUCCAGCUCAUUGAUGUUAAAGGCAGAAGGUGGAGAAAAUAUUAAAGACACUUGUCUAUACAAUGAAAUAUAGUUCAAAAGCAACAGCAGCCUCCAAAAUGACCACACAGUUGAAGCAACACCUCUAAAACAUUAAAUCCUUCAUGAAGGUAGAAUUUAUUGCAGGGCUGAUGGAUUAUAUUGCUUCAGUAUUGGCUCAACCCUCCAACUAGGGGUAAUUUCUGGUGGCUGACUUCAGUUUAUUUGCAUUGACGUGUGUCUUACCGGUCUCCACUCUGUGUAAUAAGUCUCCUGCAGGUCUCCAUCUGGACGUCCAGCCCUCUUUUCAUCGAACACAUCUCCAUAUACUCGUGCAGGUGACGGUUCAUGUCACUCUUAGCUGUAGCCAGUUCCAACUGACAAGCACAAAAAAAUAAAUAAAAUAUAUAUAAAACCCACACACAAAUCCAUUAACACUAAAAUCUCUAAUGCUGCUAUAGAGUGAAGUGUGAGAAGUUAUUUUGGCAUCCCUGGUUUCUACUUUCUCCAUAUUGUAGCAACAAAAGUUUUGACACUGUUCCAGUAAUGACCAACUAUAGCUACAACACAUACUUUGUGCUUAUUUGCAUAUAGAUUGUUGUAAAACCACUGUGUGAUGCCAAUUUUUCUUUAGAUUUUCUCAAGACUUGUAUGUUUUUAUAUUUAUCGUGAACCACUGUGUGAGGGCUCUUUUCUUUACUUGUUUAUAUUUUACACUGAUUGUAAAGAGUUUUGUUACCUGUGUUGAAAAGAGCUAUUCAA